GCCAACCAAAUGUUUGUAGAAGCAAAAUGUUAGACAGACUUGAUGUUUGAGGGAAGAUUUCCUCAGGGCUAGAGAGAGGAAGGACGUGCGAGUCUGCAGAGAGAAGCCCUCUGUCCUGCUUGCUCACAGAACCCCAGGGAGGCAGCACAACCUGAAAGAGAAGCCAGGAACCUAUCUCUCAAGUGACCAGCGUAAACAUCAACCUGGGGCUUAGUUAGAAUAAAGGCAAGAUGGUCUGAAGCCAAGGACUGAAUUCCAGAGACCACUGGUAACUGACCGUGAGGAGAACCAAAGAGGAAGCUGGUUUUCCAAACCUGGAGCAAGCUAAAUGAAUGGCACCCUUGGCUUUACAUUAAUUCCAACCUGGUUUCUGGAGGGAUGACUAACGUGUGGCAUUACUGAAAACAUGCAGUGGAGAAGGUUGUGGAGCCAUUCUGCCGCUGUGCUUUGGAGGCAGAGACCUUGGGUAUGUGCCCAGAAGAACUGAAGACUUCACCGUAGCCCAAAGGGAAGAACAACCCAAAUGUC